GACGAACGCUGGCGGCGUGCCUAAUACAUGCAAGUUGAGCGCUGAAGGUUGGUACUUGUACCAACUGGAUGAGCAGCGAACGGGUGAGUAACGCGUGGGGAAUCUGCCUUUGAGCGGGGGACAACAUUUGGAAACGAAUGCUAAUACCGCAUAAAAACUUUAAACACAAGUUUUAAGUUUGAAAGAUGCAAUUGCAUCACUCAAAGAUGAUCCCGCGUUGUAUUAGCUAGUUGGUGAGGUAAAGGCUCACCAAGGCGAUGAUACAUAGCCGACCUGAGAGGGUGAUCGGCCAAAUUGGGACUGGGACACGGCCCAAAAUCCUACGGGGAGCAGCAGUAGGGAAUCUUCGGCAAUGGACGAAAGUCUGACCGGGCAACGCCGCGUGAGUGAAGAAGGGUUUCGGAUCGUAAAACUCUGUUGGUAGAGAAGAAAGUUGGUGAGAGUGGAAAGCUCAUCAAGUGACGGUAACUACCCAGAAGGGGACGGCUAACUACGUG
rnacentral:rRNA from 1 species